rnacentral:rRNA from 1 species
CAAGGAAUCUUGGGCAAUGGGCGAAAGCCUGACCCAGCAACGCCGCGUGAGGGAUGAAGGCUUUCGGGUUGUAAACCUCUUUUCAUAGGGAAGAAUAAUGACGGUACCUGUGGAAUAAGCUUCGGCUAACUACGUGCCAGCAGCCGCGGUAAUA